UGACCUUGAUGCCAGGACUCCCCUGGGUGGC
rnacentral:piRNA from 1 species